AACGAACGCUGGCGGCAGGCCUAACACAUGCAAGUCGAGCGCCCCGCCAGGGGAGCGGCGGACGGGUGAGUAACGCGUGGGAAUAUGCCCUUUGCUACGGAAUAGUAUCGGGAAACUGGGGGUAAUACCGUAUACGCCCUUUGGGGGAAAGACUUAUCGGCGAAGGAUUAGCCCGCGGUGGAUUAGGUAGUUGGUGGGGUAAUGGCCUACCAAGCCGACGAUCCAUAGCUGGUUUGAGAGGAUGAUCAGCCACACUGGGACUGAGACACGGCCCAGACUCCUACGGGAGGCAGCAGGGGGGAAUCUUAGACAAUGGGAGCAACCCUGAGCUAGCCAUGCCGCGUGAGUGAUGAAGGCCUUAGGGUUGUAAAGCUCUUUCAGCUGGGAAGAUAAUGACGGUACCAGCAGAAGAAGCCCGGGCUAACUCCGUG
rnacentral:rRNA from 1 species